rnacentral:misc_RNA from 1 species
GAUGAAGAACGUAGCGAAAUGUGAUACGUAAUGUGAAUUGCAGAAUUCAGUGAAUCAUCGAGUCUUUGAACGCACAUUGCGCCCCCUGGUAUUCCGGGGGGCAUGCCUGUCCGAGCGUCAUUGCUGCCCUCAAGCACGGCUUGUGUGUUGGGCCUCCGUCCUCCUCCCGGGGGACGGGCCCGAAAGGCAGCGGCGGCACCGCGUCCGGUUCUCGAGCGUAUGGGGCUUCGUCACCCGCUCUUGUAGGCCCGGCCGGCGCUUGCCGACACAUCAAUCUUUUUUCCAGGUUGACCUCGGAUCAGGUAGGGAUACCCGCUGAACUUAAGCAUAUCAAUAAGCGGAGGA